rnacentral:rRNA from 1 species
GACGAACGCUGGCGGCGUGCUUAACACAUGCAAGUCGAACGGAAAGGCCCUGCUUUUGUGGGGUGCCCGAGUGGCGAACGGGUGCGUAACACGUGAGUAACCUGCUCUUGUCUUUGGGAUAACUUCAGGAAACUGGGGCUACUAUCGGACAGGAGACCCUGUUGCAUGGUGGGGGUUGGAAAGUCUCGGCGGUCGGGGAUGGACUCGCGGCUUAUCAGCUUGUUGGUGGGGUAGUGGCUUACCAAGGCUUUGACGGGUCGCCGGCCUGAGAGGGUGACCAGCCACAUUGGGACUGAGAUACGGCCCAGACGGCAACGGGGGGCAGCAGUGGGGAGUAUUGCACAAUGGGCGGAAGCCUGAUGCGGCGACGCCGCGUGCGGGAAGACGGCCUUCGGGUUGUAAACCGCAUUCGCCUGUGACGAAGCGUGAGUGACGGUAAUGAGUAAAGAAGCACCGGCUAACUACGUG